UCAAUUAAAUUUCUGUCUGCCUCAUUUUAUUCCAACUGUAAAAAUAGGACUAAAAUAGCAAGUACCUGUCAAAUUGUAAUGCAGUGUCCUAUGGUGAGCUCAACAAGUGCAGAAACUUCCCAUGGAGCAGAAGAGGAAAAGCUUGCUUAUUAUUGAUUUUAAGUAUAAAUACAGACCAUGAAAAUGGGGCCUCACAAUCCUGACUUUUGAGGUUUUAAGAAAGAAGUAUUAUAAAGGUUACCAUAGGGAUAACUGCUUUGCAGUAGGCCAAACAUUCAUAGCGAUCAUUAAUCCUUUUAUGUGAUGACUGAGUAUUUUAAAAUCAGCCAGAGUCAGGAAUUCAGGUUAGGGGAAAAUCGUCAGUCUUUAUUCUCAGUGAAGAAAGAUUGAAGGUGGAAGAGAAUGGGCAAUAGCAAUGUGUGCAGCUGAGUCAAGAAGCUAGCUAGACCAGAAGCCACGAGACCAGCACCACCAGAGUAGAACCCAGGCCCAAUCUCUCCCAGCUUCUCUUCCCGUCUCUCUGCCUCCACCCACCAAAAUCGUCAUUUCCUAUACAACACAUCAGGACUUGCACAGAGAGUGGGCAGGGGCCAUUCUUUAUCCAAGCAUGUAUAUUAAUAGAGUAUAGUCCAAUUACUAUUUAGCCUCAUGUGCUUGGGAUCUCAGUGCAUCAACUCAAGUCUCAGUCCAUUACACUUUUAAGUCAGCUUUCCUUAUCAUUAUAAAAUAAUUCACCUAAUAUUGAAUUGUUCACCCACUAAUAGGUAACAUGAGUUAGGAUUAGGUUAUUAUGAGACUAGUUAAUU
rnacentral:ncRNA from 1 species